rnacentral:tRNA from 1 species
GCCCCUGUGGCGCAAUUGGUAAGACGCGGCGGUGUUAGCGCACCGCUGCCCGAAGAGGUCGCUGCCUCGUAGGGCUGUGUAGGUUCGAAUCCUACCGGGGGUA